GAACUAGAUUCAAUCUGAUGUCAGAAUAUCAUGUACUCCAUCAAACUCUGCUACUUUGGUUUAAGUUAUUUUUGAUUGGUUAACUACAAAACGAGCUAUUAGCCAUUGUAGAUUAAAAUAACCCACCCUGUAUAUAUAUAUAUAGAACG